rnacentral:rRNA from 1 species
UAGUCCACGCCGUAAACGAUGAGUGCUAGAUAUCGGGGAAAUUUAUUUUUCGGUUUCGCAGCUAACGCAUUAAGCACUCCGCCUGGGGACUACGAUCGCAAGAUUAAAACUCAAAGGAAUUGACGGGGGCUCGCACAAGUGGUGGAGCAUGCGGUUUAAUUCGAUGCUACGCGAAAAACCUUACCAACCCUUGACAUGGUAGUCGCAGAUCACAGAGAUGAGAUCUUUCAGUUCGGCUGGACUACACACAGGUGUUGCAUGGCUGUCGUCAGCUCGUGUCGUGAGAUGUUGGGUUAAGUCCCGCAACGAGCGAAACCCUCAUCCUUACUUGCCAGCGGUUCGGCCGGGAACUAUAAGGAAACUGCCCGUGAUAAGCGGGAGGAAGGUGAGGAUGACGUCAAGUCUUCAUGGCCCUUACGGGUUGGGCUACACACGUGCUACAAUGGCAACUACAGUGGGUUAAUCCCCAAAAGUUGUCUCAGUUCGGAUUGGGGUCUGCAACUCGACCCAUGAAGUCGGAA